UACGUAGGGGGCGAGCGUUGUCCGGAUUUACUGGGCGUAAAACGCUUGUAGGCGGCCACGCCAAGUCGGACGUGAAAUCUCCCGGCUUAACUGGGAGGGUGCGCCGAAAACUGGAAGGCUUGAGUAUGGGAGAGGUAAGCGGAAUUCCUGGUGUAGCGGUGAAAUGCGUAGAUAUCAGGAGGAACACCUGCGGUGUAGACGGCUUACUGGACCAUAACUGACGCUGAGGCACGAAAGCGUGGGUAGCAAACAGG
rnacentral:rRNA from 1 species